GCCCUUAUUUGAUUAAAUGAUAUAUUGUUGUGUGACGAUAGAGUAAUGCUAUAUAUGGAGAUUCAAUUUGUAGGUAAAUUUGUAAACCAAAUGAUGUGUCACCAAUAGAAAAUGAGUAUGUUUAUUAACGGUUAAGUAACAAUCCAAUUAUUAACUUUCAUGUCAUUUAGUUUAUAAAAUUUUAACUACAAAUUUAGUCUCCUUGACAUUAUUUGUUACAAUAUUACCAUGUGGCAUGUCAAUUGAGAAAAAGUGAUGAGUUGUAGGAAUGUUUCAUGAAAGGUGAUGUAUAAGGACCACCAAGAGGUGCACUGCCGGUGUACACGCGGUUGUGCAAGUUUUUACAUGCUUGAUGGUUCGGUAUGAUGUACAACACGCAAGCAAUUACGACUCAUUGACCAACACUGGCACAAUUGAAUUCUGUUAUUUCCUUUCUUAUGGGUUGGUUUUUCUACAUUCGAAUUUUGAAAUGGACUUUUCCAUCAAAGUUUGCUUCCUGUGCAGCUUGCCAGUCAAUCUUCCACUGCCUAUAAAUCUACAACUGCCUUACCCUUUGCCUCACACCUCAUUACUUAAAAAAAUAAGCACUACUGUCGUUCCAGACUUCCAGUAGUAUUAUCAUUCCCUCUAGCUAUAUAGUUUGUGUGUGUUCUUUGGAACAAAGAAAAUGGCCUCAUCUGCAAGUGAGAAUCGCUUACUGUUAUCCAAGAUUGCAACCAAUGAAAAACAUGGUGAGGACUCGCCAUACUUCGACGGAUGGAAGGCGUACGAUCAAAAACCAUUUCACCCAACUGAAAAUCCUGAGGUGUUAUCCAGAUGGAUCUGGCAGAAAAUCAGCUUUCCUUCGACUUGGUUGAAGAGUGGAUUAAGAAAAAUCCCAAAGCCUCUAUUUGCACUGCUGAAGGAAUUGAGAAGUUCAGAAACGUGGCCAAUUUUCAAGACUACCAUGGCUUACCAGAGUUCAAACAGCAAGGUGUGGUAGAGUCACAUUUGAUCCUCAUCGCGUAGUUAUGAGUGGCGGAGGAGCCACCGGAGCAAAUGAGCUGGUCAUGUUCUGUUUGGCCGACCCCGGAGAUGUUUUCCUUAUCCCCUCACCGUAAUAUCUAGCAUUUUACCGAGACCUCAGAUGGAGAACUGGAGUCCAAAUUGUCCCGGUCGAUUGUGAUAGCUCCAACAAUUUCAAAAUAACCAAAGGAGCACUGGAAGCAGCUUAUGAAAAAGCCCAAUACAACAGAGUCACGGUUGAGGCUUGUAGCUCAAGUGGUAGUGAAUAUUUGUCCGACUUCAAGGCGAGUGUUCGAAUCCCUCACCCCCUUAACCACCUUAUGCCUGAAAAAAACUAAAACGGGAAGAAAAAGAAUAAUGUAGUCCAAACCUGAUUUUCUGCCAGAUUCAUCUGGAUAACACCUUCAGGAUUUUCAGUUGGGUGAAAUGGGUUUUGAUCGUGUGCCUUCCAUCCGUCGAAGUACGGCGAGUCCUCACCAUGUUUUUCAUUGGUUGCAAUCUUGGAUAACAGUAAGCGAUUCUCACUUGCAGAUGAGGCCAUUUUCUUGGUUCCAAAGAACACACACAAGCUAUAUAGCUAGAAGGAAUGAUAAUACUACUGGAAGUCUGGAACGACAGUAGUGCUUAUUUUUUUAAGCAAUGAAGUGUGAGGCAAAGGGUAAGGCAGUUGUGGAUUUAUAGGCGGUGGAAGAUUGAUUGGCAAGCUGCACAGGAAGCAAAAUUUGAUGGAAAAGUCCAUUUCAAAAUUCAAAUGUAGAAAAACCGACCCAUAAGAAAGGAAAUAACAUAAUUUAAUUGUGGUAGUGUUGGUCAA